UUGAUAAGCUCCAUUACACUCUUCUCCUGGCUGGAAAACUAACUUCACAGUUCCCUUCAAAUAACAACAUAUACAAGUAAUCCUGGUCAGUCCCCUUCCCAGGCUUUCCUUCAAGGUUUUUAAUACGGCGUCUAUUAGGGAGAGAUUUCCACAUCUUUAUAAAGAAUGCUUCGUUCUCUUCUCCAACCAACCUAGAAUCUCACAGAUUAUCAGACCUUAGAGCAAGGAUAGAAAGCAAUAAGAGAGAGUACCUGAAGAGGAAGGGCAUCCAUGUCUGCUCUAAGAGCAAAAACAGGUCUAGAAGAAGAAGAAGAAGAAGAAGAAGAAGAAGAAGAAGAAGAAGAAGAAGAAGAAGCCCCUUU